GAUGAACGCUAGCGGCAGGCUUAAUACAUGCAAGUCGAGGGGCAGCACGGACUUCGGUCUGGUGGCGACCGGCAAACGGGUGCGGAACACGUACACAACCUUCCUUUCAGUGGGGGAUAGCCUAAGGAAACUUGGAUUAAUACCCCGUAAUAUGGCGAUGAGGCAUCUCGUUAUCAUUAUAGUCGCAAGACGCUGGAAGACGGGUGUGCGUAUGAUUAGGUAGUUGGCGGGGUAAUGGCCCACCAAGCCUACGAUCAUUAACUUGUGUGAGGGCACGACCAGUCACACGGGCACGGGGACACGGGCCCGACUCCUACGGGAGGCGGCAGUAGGGAAUAUUGGUCAAUGGAGGAAACUCUGAACCAGCCAUGCCGCGUGGAGGAUGAAGGUCCUCUGGAUUGUAAACUUCUUUAUAUGGGACGAAAAAGGGAAAUUCUUUUCCAACUGACGGUACCAUGUGAAUAAGCACCGGCUAACUCCGUGCCAGCCGCCGCAGUAACAC
rnacentral:rRNA from 1 species